GAACAAAUAACUAAAUGGUGCUGCUCUGAUUCUUUAUGAUACAUGCUCCACGGUUGAGCUCAGGCUGGAUCUCUUGAUCUUCUCAACCCAUUCUGUUGUAGAAACAGCUGUCACCAUCUUUCCCAAAAUCACAAGGACCAGCAUCCUUCAUGCUUGCAGUCCAUGGGUAAAGAUCCCAACAAGCUGAAUUCUGUGGCACCAGCACCGUGUCCUCAUGUGCUGCUUUCAAAAGCCUCACUGGCUCAUGUAUCCAUGAGGUGUGGAUGGAUGUAUGGCAUUCCUGGAGACAAGCAGUAUCCUCUUUCCUCACUGCAUGUAAUUCUUUCAGGAUCCCCAGGCCAUUCUGCAUACUUACAGUCCCAACAAGGAGGAGGAAAAUCUCUGAAGAGCUUCAGUUUCUAAAGUCUCCUGCUCAAAGAUGCGCUGUCUUCUCCUGCUGCCCCAAAUAACAUCGAUCAUCAUCCAAAGCCUGAAUCAUCUCAGCUGUUAUCCAGUGAAAAAAUGUCUUCGUAACUGGGCGAUCAAAAACAUCACCAUAUUGCGGAAGUGGCAAUGUGUGAGCUUUCUGUCAAGCUGUGGAGGGUCUUGCAUGACUAUUAAAGGCUGCCUUAUCCUUCCAUCAUGUGCUAGACACUGCACCCAUCAUCCUUUCCCUUCCCUUCCCUUCCCUUCCCUUCCCUUCCCUUCCCUUCCCUUCCCUUCCCUUCCCUUCCCUUCC